AUGGGUUCGCUUAUUUCAAACAGGGGAAGAUGCCGGCUCAAAUGGGUAUCUGACUUGCUGGAUCAUAAUGGUCACUGGGAUAUGGUGAAGUUACAACAGUUUUUUUUGCCCGUGGACAUACAUGAGAUUUGUAAGAUUCAUCCUUCACCCCGUUUGGGAGAGGAUUUUCUAGCCUGGGCCCCUGAACGCAGUGGUCUUUUUUCUGUGCGCAGCGCCUACUGGCUAGCUGCUGAUGAGGUUAAUAGCUCCUUAAUUCCAUCUACGAGCAUCUCUCCGGACGGUCGAAGAGAUAUCUGGAAAUUGAUUUGGUCUUGUCCAGCACCACCCAAAGUGCUCUCCUUUGCAUGGCGUGCUGCUACAAAUUCACUAGCAACUUGA
rnacentral:rRNA from 1 species